AAGUUCUUAACCUGAAACCAUUUAGAAACUAUUUUUGAGAGAAUGAAAGGGGUCAAACAGGAGGAUUUGAGACCGAACGGUGGAAAAAGGUUCAUUGAGGUCUUUAGGGAAUUUUAAUACGCGAUCUUGAGUUUCAUAUUUGCGAAGAUCAGAGGCGGCACCACAUGUGUAGAGUAUGGCGUAAGUGCAAUCACGAGUGG
rnacentral:lncRNA from 1 species